UCGCUGAUAGAUAGGCAUGCGUUCCAUUAGGCAGUUGGCGGGGUAACGGCCCACCAAACCGACGAUGGAUAGGGGUUCUGAGAGGAAGGUCCCCCACAUUGGUACUGAGACACGGACCAAACUCCUACGGGAGGCAGCAGUGAGGAAUAUUGGUCAAUGGCCGAGAGGCUGAACCAGCCAAGUCGCGUGAAGGAAGAAGGAUCUAUGGUUUGUAAACUUCUUUUAUAGGGGAAUAAAGUGGAGGACGUGUCCUUUUUUGUAUGUACCCUAUGAAUAAGCAUCGGCUAACUCCGUGCCAGCAGCCGCGGUAAUACGGAGGAUGCGAGCGUUAUCCGGAUUUAUUGGGUUUAAAGGGUGCGUAGGUGGUGAUUUAAGUCAGCGGUGAAAGUUUGUGGCUCAACCAUAAAAUUGCCGUUGAAACUGGGUUACUUGAGUGUGUUUGAGGUAGGCGGAAUGCGUGGUGUAGCGGUGAAAUGCAUAGAUAUCACGCAGAACUCCGAUUGCGAAGGCAGCUUACUAAACCAUAACUGACACUGAAGCACGAAAGCGUGGGGAUCAAACAGGAUUAGAUACCCUGGUAGUCCACGCAGUAAACGAUG
rnacentral:rRNA from 1 species